rnacentral:lncRNA from 1 species
CAAGACCUUUCCAGAGAAGGGGUGAUGGAUUCCAAAGAAGGCCAUCUCCCCAAGCUUCCUGACCUGCCCAGUGUUGGCCUGUGUGAUGGUUUGGGUUGGAAACUUUGGCAUAGGAAACCCAUUCUCAUCUGACUCUUGGCUGAAGGAGUUUCUGAGCUUUUCACUAAAAAAAAAAAAAAAAAAAAAAUUCUGAAUUUUAGAAACAGGGGCCUCUUUUUGUGUUUGUAGCCUCCAAGGAAGUGAGCUGCCCUGAGAGUUGGUUAAAAACUGCUUCCUGGGGUUGUAGUUUGAGGUCUACCAUUCGGCUCACCCCAGCCUUACAGAGUUCAAUGGUUUUGUCUAUUUAUUUAUUUAGUUACAUAUUUAUUUAUUGGGGUGCUGGGGAUUGAAUGCAGGGCCUCAUGCUAUCUAUUUAUUUAUGUUAUCUAUCUAUUAAUUUGUUUAUUUGAUGUGCCUUGCUAUGUUGCCCAAGGUGGCCUCAAACCAGCAAGGCUCAAGUGAUCCUCCUUCC